rnacentral:rRNA from 1 species
GAUGAACGCUGGCGGCGUGCCUAAUACAUGCAAGUCGAGCGAACAGACGAGGAGCUUGCUCCUCUGACGUUAGCGGCGGACGGGUGAGUAACACGUGGAUAACCUACCUAUAAGACUGGGAUAACUUCGGGAAACCGGAGCUAAUACCGGAUAAUAUAUUGAACCGCAUGGUUCAAUAGUGAAAGACGGUUUUCUGUCACUUAUAGAUGGAUCCGCGCCGCAUUAGCUAGUUGGUAAGGUAACAGCUUACCAAGGCAACGAUGCGUAGCCGACCUGAGAGGGUGAUCGGCCACACUGGAACUGAGACACGGUCCAGACUCCUACGGGAGGCAGCAGUAGGGAAUCUUCCGCAAUGGGCGAAAGCCUGACGGAGCAACGCCGCGUGAGUGAUGAAGGUCUUCGGAUCGUAAAACUCUGUUAUUAGGGAAGAACAAAUGUGUAAGUAACUAUGCACGUCUUGACGGUACCUAAUCAGAAAGCCACGGCUAACUACGUG